GAUGAACGCUGGCGGCGUGCCUAAUACAUGCAAGUCGAGCGAACAGACGAGGAGCUUGCUCCUCUGACGUUAGCGGCGGACGGGUGAGUAACACGUGGAUAACCUACCUAUAAGACUGAGAUAACUUCGGGAAACCGGAGCUAAUACCGGAUAAUAUAUUGAACCGCAUGGUUCAAUAGUGAAAGACGGUUUUGCUGUCACUUAUAGAUGGAUCCGCGCCGCAUUAGCUAGUUGGUAAGGUAACGGCUUACCAAGGCAACGAUGCGUACCCGACCUGAGGGGGGGUCGGCCCCCUCAGAAGCUGACCGACCGCCCGGACACUGAGGGAGGCAGCAGUAGGGAAUCUUACGCAAUGGGCGAAAGCCUGACGGAGCAACGCCGCGUGAGUGAUGACGGUCUUCGGAUCGUAAAACUCUGUUAUUAGGGAAGAACAAAUGUGUAAGUAACUAUGCACGUAUUGACGGUACCUAAUCAGAAAGCCACGGCUAACUACGUG
rnacentral:rRNA from 1 species